rnacentral:lncRNA from 1 species
AGUUAUUCAGGGAUCCAGGCUCACUCCAGCAAGAAGGAAAGAGUGGGGACAGUUGGCUGCCUGUGCAACUCUCCAGACUAGAAAGAGACCAUUACACAUGUUGUAAAGCCCAGAGGAAUAGUUUUCUGCACAUCUUGCCUGGCAAGUGCUCUUCUACAAUGUAAAACAAACUUCUCUGAAGUACAGAACUUGGUAAUAGCUAAACCCCGCUUGAAAGUAGAAAACGAAGUUCCAGAAAUAGAAGAAGGGCUUGGAAACAAGAAUGUGGGACUAUUAUCUUCCCCUGUGCUUCUUGAAGUUGGUGUGACUGUGAUCUGAUUUGGUCGACAUAAUGUGAGAAGUCUGUCACUUCCAAGCAGCAUCAUUUAAUUGCUGCUGCGUGCUUCUCUAUCUUCUCUUCUCUGUUGCAACAAAUCCUGGAGCCUUGUGACGAUCAUAAAAUGGGAACAUCUUUGUUAUCCCAGGUCCUGCACGGUAACUGUGUGAAGCACAGCCCUCACCCCUCUGGCUGGACAUGUUGCGUGAGCAAGAAAUAAAUCUUAGUUGUUCUAGGUC